rnacentral:rRNA from 1 species
GACGAACGCUGGCGGCGUGCUUAACACAUGCAAGUCGAACGGAAAGGCCCUGCGUUUGUGGGGUGCUCGAGUGGCGAACGGGUGAGGAACAGGUGAGUAACCUGCCCUUGACUUUGGGAUAACUUCAGGAAACUGGGGCUAAUACCGGAUAGGAGCUCCUGCUGCAUGGUGGGGGUUGGAAAGUUUAGGCGGGUGGGGAUGGACUCGCGGCUUAUCAGCUUGUUGGUGGGGUAGUGGCUUACCAAGGCUUUGACGGGUAGCCGGCCGGAGAGGGUGACCGGCCACAUUGGGACUGAGAUACGGACCAGACUCCUACGGGAGGCAGCAGUGGGGAAUAUUGCCCAAUGGGCGGACGCCUGAUGCAGCAACGCCGCGUGCGGGAUGACGGCCUUCGGGUCGUAAACCGCUUUAGCCUGUGACGAAGCGUGAGUGACGGUAAUGGGUAAAGAAGCACCGGCUAACUACGUG